CCUACGGGUGGCAGCAGUGGGGAAUAUUGCACAAUGGACGAAAGCCUGAUGCAGCGACGCCGCGUGAAUGAAGAAGUAUUUCGGUAUGUAAAGCUCUAUCAGCAGGGAAGAAAAUAACGGUACCUGACUAAGAAGCCCCUGCGAACUCCGUUCCAGCAGCCGCGGUAAUACGUAGGGGGCAAGCGUUAUCCGGAUUUACUGGGGGUAAAGGGGGCGUAGGUGGCAUGGUAAGCCAGAAGUGAAAACCUAGGGCUCAACUCUGUGGAUUGCUUUUGAAACUAUCAAGAUAGAGUGCUGGAGGGGUAAGCGGAAUUCCUAGUGUAGCGGGGAAAUGCGUAGAUAUUAGGAGGAACACCGGUGGCGAAGGCGGCUUACUGGACAGAAACUGACACUGAGGCUCGAAAGCGUGGGGAGCAAACAGGAUUAGAUACCCUUGUAGUC
rnacentral:rRNA from 1 species